ACAUAUUUAACCCCAACAGAAUGUGGCCGGCGGUCUGUUACAUCUAACUGCUGAGAAACUGGUUCACAGUCCGACAGUCACAGUUAAUGCCAAGAUGUAUGUACAUGUAUUCCCGUGUGUGGCACUCAUUUUGAUCAGUAUUCCCCUUACCCAGUCUUGCUGCGCACCGAGUGUGGUCCAAGGAACAGCAAUGACAUACGGACUUAUUUCAGAGGGAAAGACGGCUUUCCAAUUUCAAAUUGAAUAUUUUUAGAAUAUGCAGAAGUUCUACUAUGACGAGGAAGAAAAAAAGGUUGCCAGAGUCACCACAAACAUGAUGGGACAACCGGUGCGCGACAUUUUCGAUUUUCCCGCCAAAAAGCGUUACGUCAUCACCAAUGGAACCACGUGUAACGUCACAGAUCUGAACGAGCCGUUCCAAAAGAGCUGUGUGUCUCCAUCCGCAGUUUUCAUGGGGUCAACAGUGCUAGGCAAUACCGAUGACAAUAUGAAAGUAGACAAUUAUCGCUUUAAUAUUACUCAGGGUCCCGUUACCAUCGAGACUUCCUUCAUGAUCGCCCCGAUGAAGGGAGGGGAUUGCACGGUGGUAGGGAUGGUGGCUUACGGAAAAGAUCAAAACGGGUACCAGUUUUCAGGAACGACCAUUUACAUGAAUUUCUCGUUUGAAAUCACGGACAAGUCAGUGUUUCAACCUCCCAAACAGUGCAACGAACCAGACAACACGGGAACCCUCCUCUUUGAGGUUCUCGGCGGAUUCAGCAGACAUGGUUUUUUUUAAGAUUUAGGACAUGAUUUUUAAUUCGACAUUGUAUAUGGUUUUCAACAUCUUACCUAAAAAUAAAAAUACCUAAAUAAAAUCAAAAGAACCUUCUGUAUGUGAUCUGAAAUUGAAAACGACAUUGUUUCAGUUUCCCUUACAGAAAGUUUUAUCAUAUGUGAGAAUUAUUUUAAGUUUCCGCAUUUGCUUAGGUACCUAUUGAUUAAAAGAGGAUUAAAUUCCUAUAAUUGCUUAAUGUACCGCUUAUGACCUUUUGUUGAAAUAAAGAUUUAUUGAAUUUU
rnacentral:misc_RNA from 1 species